CACCGCGGUUAUACGAGAGGCUCAAGCUGACAAUUCAUCGGCGUAAAGAGUGGUUAAAAUAAUUACCCAAAAUUAAAGCCAAACUCCCCCAAAGCUGUUGUACGCAACGGGAGGUAAGAAGCCCUUAUACGAAAGUAGCUUUAAUAUGUUGAUUCCACGAAAGCCAGGGCA
rnacentral:rRNA from 1 species